AUACUUACCUGGCAGGAGAGAUACCAUGAUCACGAAGGUGGUUUUCCCAGGGUGAGGCUUAUCCAUUGCACUCCGGAUGUGCUGACCCCUGCGAUUUCCCCAAACGUGGGAAACUCGUCUGCAUAAUUUGGGGUAGUGGGGGGCUGGGUUCCCGCUUUCCCCUU
rnacentral:snRNA from 1 species